UCCCUGGUAGUAUAUCGGUUAGUACACGCGCCUGUCAUAAUUCAUGAGGUCUUGGCGUAAGCAUGUCGCGCGAAAGCUGGGUUCGACUCCCAGCCAGGGAG